UGCCGGAAACAAAACGUCCAUUGCCAUAACUGAAUGACAGCUAUCAAUUCGCAAGAUAUUGUAUACAAUGUGUGGACAGAAAAGAUGGCAUCGAUUUUACCGUUGCAAUUCGAGCCAGAGUCCGACAAUGAAACGUCUGAAGUAGUCGAUCAACCAGAAACUGACUGGAGCAGGACGUUUCUCUAUGAAUUCUAAAUCCAACGGCCAACUUGUUCCUUGGCGUUUGUCGGUGCGGUGUGAACUGGCCUUAAGGGUUGCGGGCUUGCCUUCCAGUGGCUUUGUUUGAACUGAGGUGGAGGGAGUUACCAUGGAAACGGCGCGGCACCUCUCAACUGACAAGUAGCGAACUCCGACUCUCACUGUUGUUUUCACUACUUUCAGUUUUUUCCAUGCUGUUGGCAGUGCAGUUGGACAUCUUUAGACAUUAUGAACCAUGUGACUGGUCUUAAAAAGCCUUAAAUUUGACUUUAAAAAAUGUGCAGCGACUCUGAUGCUCUAUGACCAGUCAUUUACGCCGUCUUCACCUGGGUGUUGAUAUCGUGCGAGCACAGACCAUGUCAAAAAGAAACACCCUGGCACCAGAGAUGCUGAGAUCAAGGUGUGCAUAGCACAAAAAUUGAAAGAUCUCCGGAGGCAAGCAAAAAGGAAGCCUGCUGAAGAAGACAAAGAGGACAGAGACAACACAUGCACAUGUGCACACGCAAACACACACCCUAUACAUUUGUUUUUUGGGGGGUUUUUUCAUGUGUAAUUUUAAUAAUUGCUUUUGUAUGUUUUAAACGCUCAAUUUUCAAUGCAUAAUUUGAAAUGAAAUAAAAGCUCACUUUGAAUAAGUUAAUUGUUUUCAUUUUGGGAAACAUGGCUAUAGGCCCUACAGAAGAACAUAGUACUGUUUUCUGUGGUAUAUCGCUCAAUGAUUUUACAUGGGUUUCACAUGAAGUUACAGGUGUACAUGGGGAGUAGGUGUAACAUACAUUGUUGAUUUAUAUUAGAAAGGAUUGUUGAUGGGUUUCAAAUGUUACUCCAUGGGUCUCACAUUGGAAUAUAUGUUUCACGUGUGAUCUCAUGAGUUUCACAUGGGAAUCUUACAUGCUUCACUUACAUGCUACACAUGGGGUUUCACGUUUUUCACAUGGGAAACGUUCCAAAACCACACAUUUUCCAUGUGCAAAACACGUUUCACAUGUGAUCCACAUAUCUUCACAUGUGCUUUUAACAUGUGCAUAAUCACAUGUAUAUGUGGUCACAUGUGACCACAUGUGUUUUUGCACAUGUGAAGUUCAUGUGUUUUUUCUGUAAGGAAUAAGAUAUACAUUUAGGCCAGAUGUGUACACAGACUUUUUCGCCAUAACUAUUAACAAAAUAAAAAAUGGCUGUAUCAUUGUUUGACAUUACAAUGGGUGUUUACUGUUUACAGCGAGAAUACUUUAACUAGUUAGCGCGGACUAGCAUCUUAGCAUCCUAUUACAAUACAGAUAGAGCUACACUCUAUUGUAAUAAUAAAAACGCAGAGGAAAAAAACAGUUUGUUUUACAGUUAUGUAAGCGAACCGGGCCCACAGCUAUAUUAUAAACUCCCACGUUAGCUAAGCACAAACGUGAAUAGCUGAUGAUGCAUUACACUUUGUAAACAAAAGUCGUGCUCCAUCCUUGAUCAUUACUCCAAGUAAUAAGAUAGGCAAGAUGCAUUAAUCGACAUUUUUUAUACAAUAUUGGACCCACAUCUGAAUAGCAGAACUACAGAAACUAAGAAAGUUAGCCGGUUAGCAGGAGACAUACAGACAAGGGUGUAAGUUUCUCAUCAACAAAGUUCAACAACUGCGUCAGAUUGGUUAAGUAACAUUACCCACAGUCUACUUUAAGUACUUAUGUUAAUAUUUAUACCUCUGUGAUUAUAUGGUAUCUUUCCUUAGUCGUCUGAAAUGUAUGCUAGCAAAAUUUUACCCUAGCAUAGCACGUAUUUAAUGAUGCUGAUUGCGAAACGUCUUGAAUGCUUUUAUUCAUGUUUCCCUGUAGGCUAUAUCCUAUGUUUUUAUUUAUA